rnacentral:lncRNA from 1 species
GUUGUUUUGUUUUUUGCUUUUUAGGGCCACACCUCGUGGCAUAUGGAUGUUCCCAGGCUAGGGGUCCAAUCGGAGCUGAGCCACUGGUCUACACCACAGCCAUAGCAAUGCCGGAUCUGAGCCACGUCUGCAAUCUACACCACAGCUGACGGCAAUGCCAGUUCCUUAACCCACUGAGCGAAGCCAGGGAUCAAACCCACAACCUCAUGGUUCCUAGUCAGAUUCAUUUCUGCUGUGCCACAACGGGAACUUCGGAUUGUUUUUCUUCUCAGAAGACCAACGCCUACUCCUUUGGGGUUUCUUCUAAAAUCAUUUCAGCAAAAAUACUGCCACCCAGUGUUUUGAUUAGAAGAAGCACAGUUGACCACAUAACACAUAAAGUUUUCUAGACUGAAUAGCAAAUAGCAUUUUCUUACACACAAAGAAGACCUACACUUUCUGCCUUCAAAGCCCAUAUCUUGCUGCUGCGUUGUGUUGAGAGCCUAUUCCAGCUGUUGGAACGAUCAUUUUGUCUUUAAAAUACAAAUUCUAAGAUAAUCCUGCUAAUAGUCCAGCCUUAUUCAGUUGUUCUGAUCUGGCUGAGGGUUGUUGCAGGUGUCACCUCACAGGUUUGCAAUGAAACUUCACAAUGAAACUUUGAACAGGGCCACUCAGGUCCUAACACUCAAUAAGCAUCAGCUGUUGUAUUUCGUUUUCUUCAUCCCUCAUACCUGUGACUAUUCUGAUUAUUAAGACUUCUAUAAGGGAACAGAUAAAUUAUUGUGGGUCUUACUAUGCCCUUUUCCCCCAAAAAAAUAUUAUUUGUUAAAUACGAACUUGAUAAAAGAAGUUUAUUGGGAAACAUUCAACUACAGCGGGAUAGAUUCUUUCUUCGGGAAUACUAAGGAGGGAGACGUCAUCUGAAGGGGGAGAGGAAAGUUCACUGCAAAGAAAGGCCUCAGCCCUAAGUCUUCAAGCCUGGGUAGCACUUUGCAAAGCAAAUUCUAAGCGGCAAGUGCGGCCCUGGAAACAGAGACAUCAGAGACCCUGGCAGGGUGUAGGGGAGGGGAGACUGCAGGGGCUGCCACCAGACAGUAUUAGCAGCAAAUUGUUAACAGGUUGGAAAGGCAUGCAUGGCACUGAAAUCUGUUAAACAGGUAUCAGUGGGGUGCUGAAGUAAUACUUAGUACUGAGGUAACACUUCACACUGAAAUCUGAUCAACAAGUAUCAGUGGGGUGCUGAAGUAAUACUUAGCACUGAGGUAACACUUCACACUGAAAUCUGUUCAACAAGAAUCAGAGAGGCGCUGAAGUAACACUUAGUACUGAGGUAACACUUCACAGUGAAAUCUGUUAAACAGGUAUCAUGGGGUGCUGAAGUAAUACUUAGCACUGAGGUAACACUUCACACUGAAAUCUGUUCAACAAGUAUCAGUGAGGCGCUGAAGUAACACUUAGUACUGAGGUAACACUUCACACUGAAAUCUGUUCAACAAGUAUCAGUG